rnacentral:rRNA from 1 species
AGAGUUUGAUCCUGGCUCAGGACUAACGCUGGCGGCAUGCAUCAUACAUGCAAGUCAAACGGGAAGUUUUGUAGCAAUACGGAGCUUCUAGUGGCGCACGGGUGAGUAACACGUAGGUAACCUACCCUAGGGAGGGGAAUAACACGCCGAAAGGUGUGCUAAUACCGCAUAUAGCCCAGCAGUCGCGUGGCAGCUGGGUGAAAGGACGGCCUCUGUUUCAUGCCUCCGCCUUAGGAUGGGCCUGCGGACUAUCAGCUUGUUGGUGGGGUAACGGCCUACCAAGGCUUUGACGGUUAGCCGGCUUGAGAGAGUGAACGGCCACACUGGAACUGAGACACGGUCCAGACUCCUACGGGAGGCAGCAGUAGGGAAUCUUCCGCAAUGGGCGAAAGCCUGACGGAGCAAUGCCGCGUGAGGGAUGACGGCCUCCGGGUUGUAAACCUUUGUUGACGGAGAAGAAGAGUGGGCUUCGAAAGUAGCCUACUUUGACGGUAUCUGUCGAGGAAGCCCCGGCUAAAUACGUGCCAGCAGCCGCGGUAAUACGUAUGGGGCAAGCGUUGUCCGGAUUUACUGGGCGUAAAGCGCGCGUAGGCGGCUUGGUAAGUAGAGGGUGAAAGCUCCGGGCCUAACUCGGAAAUUGCCUUCUAAACUGCCUUGCUUGAGGACCUAAGGGGAGACUGGAAUUCACGGUGUAGCGGUGAAAUGCGUAGAUAUCGUGGAGAACACCAGUGGCGAAAGCGGGUCUCUGGUGGGUUCCUGACGCUGAGGCGCGAAGGCUAGGGGAGCGAACGGGAUUAGAUACCCCGGUAGUCCUAGCCGUAAACGAUGGGUACUAGGUGUGGGGUGUAUGCUCCGUGCCGACGCAAACGCAUUAAGUACCCCGCCUGGGGACUACGAUCGCAAGAUUAAAACUCAAAGGAAUUGACGGGGGCCCGCACAAGCGGUGGAGCAUGUGGAUCAAUUCGAUCCACGCGAGGAACCUUACCUGGACUUGACAUCCCGGGGCCGCCUUGGAAACAAGGUUUUCCCUUCGGGGACCCGGUGACAGGUGGUGCAUGGCUGUCGUCAGCUCGUGUCGUGAGAUGUUGGGUUAAGUCCCGCAACGAGCGCAACCCUUGCCGUUAGUUGCCAGCAUUUAGUUGGGGACUCUAACGGGACUGUCGGUAACAAGCCGAAGGAAGGUGGGGAUGACGUCAAGUCAGC